UGACCAAACUGUGUCUUCGUCAUAAACAACGUCAUAGCAUCUAGCUGCAUGUGAUUUAUGACGAUAGAUUGUGACAAUAGUUAAUUGUCGUCAAAUAUAAAUCUAUUAUAAUUAUUAUUAAAAUAUCUUGUUAUCCCACAUGGCCAUUGGUGCACACUAUCAUAUGUCCUAGGUAAAUUAUUUCCGUCCUAGUUAACUCCUAGUCCCACGUAGGAUUGGAGGAAGAAAAUUUCAAAAGAACACACCAAAAUGUUGGUAUUUGUGAUGAUAGAUUGUAACAAUAAUUGAUCAUUAUAAAUAUAAAUCUAUUAUAAUUAUUUUAAAAAUAUUAUCUUAUCCUAUUUAGUCGUUGGUGCACACUACCAUAUGCCAUAGUUAUAGCCCCAUGUAUGAUUAGAUGAAAAAAUUCAAAAAAACACCCUAGCUAUAGCCUCAUGUAGGAUUGAAUAAAAAAAUUCAAAAAACACCAAA
rnacentral:lncRNA from 1 species